rnacentral:rRNA from 1 species
AUAUUGCACAAUGGGGGAAACCCUGAUGCAGCCAUGCCGCGUGUGUGAAGAAGGCCUUCGGGUUGUAAAGCACUUUCAGUGGUGAGGAAGGCUAUCGUGUUAAUAGCACGGUAGAUUGACGUUAGCCACAGAAGAAGCACCGGCUAACUCCGUGCCAGCAGCCGCGGUAAUACGGAGGGUGCGAGCGUUAAUCGGAAUUACUGGGCGUAAAGCGUACGUAGGCGGCUCAUUAAGCAAGAUGUGAAAGCCCCGGGCUCAACCUGGGAAUGGCAUUUUGAACUGGUGAGCUCGAGUUUUGAAGAGGGUGGUAGAAUUUCCAGUGUAGCGGUGAAAUGCGUAGAUAUUGGAAGGAAUACCAGUGGCGAAGGCGGCCACCUGGUCAAGAACUGACGCUGAGGUACGAAAGCGUGGGGAGCAAACAGGAUUAGAUACCCUGGUAGUCCACGCCGUAAACGAUGUCAACUAGUUGUUCGUUUCAUAAAGAAGUGAGUAACGCAGCUAACGCACUAAGUUGACCGCCUGGGGAGUACGGCGCCA